AAUUCUCCUAAACAACUCUGAGGCCAUCACAGAGCAGCUGUAUUUAUACUGACAUUAGAUUACACACAGGUGCACUUUAUUUAGUCAUUAACAAUCAUCAGGCAAUGUCUAUGGGCAACUGACUGCACUCAGACCAAAGAGGAAAUAUUUGGGAUCAUGCAUG